rnacentral:sRNA from 1 species
AGCAGCCGCGGUAAUUCCAGCUCCAAUAGCGUAUAUUAAAGUUGUUGCAGUUAAAAAGCUCGUAGUUGAACUUCGGGAUUUACCCAUUGGUCAGGCUUAACUGUCUGCACUGGUGUGAUGAAUUCCUACCUUCUGAGGAAUCUCCAUGCCAUUCACUUGGUGUGGUGGGGAAUCAGGACUGUUACUUUGAAAAAUUAGAGUGUUUAAAGCAGGCUAACGUCUGAAUACAUUAGCAUGGAAUAAUAGAAUAGGACGGUUUGGUUCUAUUUUGUUGGUUUCUAGGAUCACCGUAAUGAUUAAUAGGGAUAGUUGGGGGCAUUAGUAUUCAAUUGUCAGAGGUGAAAUUCUUGGAUUUAUUGAAGACUAACUACUGCGAAAGCAUUUGCCAAGGAUGUUUUCAUUAAUCAAGAACGAAAGUUAGGGGAUCGAAGACGAUCAGAUACCGUCGUAGUCUUAACCAUAAACUAUGCCGACUAGGGAUCGGACGAAGUUAGUU